rnacentral:tRNA from 1 species
ACCUGGGUGGCUCAGCGGUUGAGCGCCUGCCUUUGGCCCAGGGUGUGGUCCUGGAGUCCUGGGAUCGAGUCCCACCUCGGGCU